AACGCGAAGAACCUUACCAAGGCUUGACAUGCAGGGAAAUCUCAUAGAGAUAUGGGGUCCGCAAGGGCUCUGCACAGGUGGUGCAUGGUUGUCGUCAGCUCGUGUCGUGAGAUGUUGGGUUAAGUCCCGCAACGAGCGCAACCCUCGUUCUAUGUUGCCAGCGCGUAAUGGCGGGGACUCAUAGGAGACUGCCGGGGUCAACUCGGAGGAAGGUGGGGAUGACGUCAAAUCAUCAUGCCCCUUAUGUCUUGGGCUGCACACAUGCUACAAUGGUCGGUACAAAGGGCUGCUAAGCCGCAAGGUGGAGCGAAUCCCAAAAAGCCGGCCUCAGUUCGGAUUGGGGUCUGCAACUCGACCCCAUGAAGUCGGAGUCGCUAGUAAUCGCAGAUCAGCAACGCUGCGGUGAAUACGUUCCCGGGCCUUGUACACACCGUACGUC
rnacentral:rRNA from 1 species